CCUCCGUCGGUGGCCCGCGUUGUCCGGCCUUCCUUGGUGUCCCGGGCGCGCCGGCGGGUGCUCCCGUCCGCUGUGAAAACUACGGGCUUAACCCGUAGACUGCAGUUGAAACUGUUCAUCUUGAGUGAAGUAGAGGUUGGCGGAAUUCCGAGUGUAGCGGUGAAAUGCGUAGAUAUUCGGAGGAACACCGGUGGCGAAGGCGGCCAACUGGGCUUUAACUGACGCUGAGGCUCGAAAGUGUGGGGAGCAAACAGG
rnacentral:rRNA from 1 species